rnacentral:lncRNA from 1 species
AAGUGGAGAGGUCUAAGCACCGGUCUCCAGCGUGCCGCGGAGAUGUAAAGCAAAGUCACUUUUUUCCCCCUUUUUUUAUUUACUUUUUUAUUUAUUUAUUUUAUGAUGGAGUUGGCAGAGUAAUUCAGCUGGGUUUUGGUGACACCCAGGAACGCAAUAAAGUAAAACGUGGGCAGCCCUCAGACAGCCUGCACGGUGACAAACGGGUUAUCACCCUCGACAUGAAGAACUACGGCUCUUCCUUUUUUUUCUUCUUUUUCCCAAGGUCACUCCUGAAAACCAAGAGAGGUAAUUUGUGCAUGUGCCUGUCCACACCUGUGGUUCUGUUCACAGCCCUUGCUUCCCCACCUGCCUGGCCCACCCGGGACACCUGCGCACCUAUAAAAGCCCCCGCCUGGGCUCUCCCCUCCCUUUGGUCUCUGCUUCCCUCUGCCCCUCUCAGAGGAGGGCAGAGAGCUGCAUUUUUAGGGCUAAAGCUUCGUGGUUUUAGCUCUGGAUCCUGGGACUGGAUGCCUUACCUGCCUUUAGAAAGAAGGUAGCUGUGUUCCUGCUUUCGGGUUUUUUUAUUAAAAGGAAGAAGCCUGGAAACGUGCCCUGAGCUGAAAGUUUGAAGAGGAGCACAGAGUGUCCCCGCAUAGACCUUCCCUGGGGAGCGAGGGACAGCCCAUGGCACCGCGUCCGAGGGCAGCACGUUUGUGUGAGCAGGAGCUGCAGCAGCGGACCCCAGGGAACCCUUUGGAUGGGGGCAGGAUGCCACAAGCUCAGCUCCCACGUGCAGGGAGGCGACGUCUGGCCUGGUGAUGGGGCCGUCCCCUUCUGGGCUCCGUGGCUCUUGCUAGUCCCAAACACAUCUCUGCAAUUCCCCUUUGCGUAUGCCCAAGCCCAAUUAACCAGUGUGCCAUUUAACCAAGCCUGGACGAUGUGCUGCCUCCACGAUGCUUCUCCAGGAGAGUUUUCAGCUUUGUUCUCCUCCGAUAGUCCACCAGUCUAUCCGGGGUCACAUACUGGCUGCAUUUCAUCUGGCAUCUCGCAGUCACGCACAACCACUGCUCCAACACUGCUGGUCGCAGUGGGUGCUGCUCUGCUGCCCCGUCCCAGCUCCUGCAGGUUAACUCAGCGGGGAUAUUGCAAAAGCAAAUUCCUCCCGGCAAGUGUAAUUACGGGGCCGGAAUUCCUCCGGUUCCUUGUCCUUGCCGCGAAUCCUGCUAAAGCCAUCAGGUGA